CAGACAGCAUGAGCAGACUAGGGGGCUACAUGUUCACAGGAGGAGGGAGACUCCAGGUCUGCACAGUAACUCUGAAGAAGAGAGAAGAGGAGGUUUAGGAAAAGGAGGAGGAGGGCUGCUGGCACACUUCUCUUUAGACGAGAGGAAGAGAAGCACAUUAAUCAUCCAGAGACAUCUGUUCAUAUGCUGCUUUACAGCUCUGUCAAAGCUCUCUUGACUUGCCUGUGUAGCUCCAUGCAAGGAGAAAAAAGAAACCAGCUCUGCACAUCAUACAGCAUCAACCACCCAGGGAGGGAGAAGACUAACACAUGCUUCUGUUCUCUUCCACGUACAUGAGCGGACACACCAACAAUUGCCUAAUGAUAUAGUGAUUGAGAGGUGAGAGAGAAUAUCAUCCCUCCCACCCAGACAGUAUGGCCUAUUAUGCUCCCCAGGUUCCGGGUUACAGAAGGCUGUCUGUAAAUGAACUCUCAAUUUAUCAGCGAUUGGGGAAAAUCUUUUUUGUUGCACUACCUGGGAUCCCCAUAGGGUGUGUUUUAUUGUUCUUAUACCUCUUUGUGACACUGUUAGUUGUAUCUAAGGCUUGUACUGGUGUUUACACAAUACACCAAGGCUUUCUGUAUACUGCUAACUGUUUUGAAUUAUGUGAAUUAUGUUUGUCGGUGCUUGAGCAGUAUCUGCUUUCGGUAAUCCCUUUUUCCUACAUUACAGUUUUAUUUUGCUUACAUGUGCUGGAAAUUCUUAUUUCACUGAGAUUAUAUCAUUACAUUCUUAGAACAAGUAUGAACUGUUUUAAUUACUGAUAACAUUUUCAGGUUGUAAUAGACAUAAUUACACAGAUGAAGCACUUUAGAAUUUACUGCAAACAUGUUUUAGUAGUAAAAGAAAUAGUAAUAAUCUAGUAAUAACAACCUCAUUUAAAUGGCAAAUCAAACUACCUAUUGAACUAAUACUACAUAAACAAGAUUCAAUGUUUUAAAGCGUAACAUUUAAACAAAGGAUUUAAACAUAGGAUAUCGUUGUCCAGUUAGUUAUCAUUAUUCCUUUACAGUACAGUACUUCAUAUGUAUUUAUCUGUAUCAUCUUCAAUUAUAUGUUUGUAAGUCAGUCUAGCUUGUACAAUGUACAACCCAUCACCAUUAUUAGCUGCAGUUCCUCCUGGAUCUUCUCUGGAGCUUUACUGGGAAGUUUUAAGAUUUUGUUCUACAUGUAUUCAGGUAUUGUUUGUACUGUAGUUUGUGCUGAAUGAUAGUGGGAGUGAAAAUGAGAAGUGACUAAAUAUAGAGAAACAGAUGUUAUAUUGAGAACUGAAAGUUGUCUCACUCAUAAUACUUAUAAAUAGAAACCAACAGCUUACAUGUCAGACUUUGAAACACAAUUAAUGAUUAAUUAUGGUGAAUUAAAAUAAUCUUUCUAAGACUUAAUCAGACUUGAUUUGAUUUUGAAUGAAAUAUUUUUUCUAGAAAAAUUGCCAAAAUGAUCAGAAUGAUAGAAGAUAAAGAUUCAGAUUAAAAAAAGCAUGCAGAGAUUGUGCCAGCUCCAGUUGUGUUCCAAUUUGUGAAAAUUUCGGACCUCAAAGAGAAGAGGCCAACCCCAUGCGGAUUCUGAAGCAUCUAGAGAUGUACCAACUCCGGUUAGAUUCCGCUUCAUGAUGAUUUUGGACAUUUGAAGAGAAGUUGCUAACCCCAUGAGGACUUUGAGGAGAACAACCUCUUGAUCAAUAGACAAAAUAACAUUCUGCAUAUGCUAUAUAUCUCCUUCAUUGAGCAUUUGAAGGCUUCAGCAUGGAGGAGAUGGUGUUGAAUUUUUAAUGAACUUAGAUGAUGAGCUCCUGGUUACACAACUCCAAAUUUACUAUACAGUAUAUGACUGUAGAAAGGACAUUGUUUAUAAUCACACUCUCCUGUGUUUAUAAUAAUUUAUAAUCACACUCUAUAGUGUUUAGCAUAAUUUAUAAUCAUACUCUCUAGUGUUUGUAAUCAUUUAUACAUACACUCUCUGGUGUCACCCAAAUGAGGGUGUUCCUCUCAAGGGUUCUUCAUAUCAUCUAAGGGACUUUUUCCUCACCACAAUGAUGCAGGGUUGCUCAUUAUGGACAAAUAUCAAAUGGUCAUUUGCUCAAAUAGUUAUAAAUUCAAAUACAUUUCCAUAAACAUUGUAUGUCCUGUAAAGCUACAUUGAGAAAAUGUCCAUGGGUAAAAGUGCUUUACAAAUAAAACAUA